rnacentral:rRNA from 1 species
AGCGAACGCUGGCGGCGUGCUUAACACAUGCAAGUCGAGUGCGCAGUUUCCUGUAGCAAUACAGGAAAUGGGCGCACGGCGCACGGGUGCGUAACACGUGGACAAUCUACCCUUUGAUGGGGAAUAACCCGCCGAAAGGCGGGCUAAUACCGCAUAACAUCCCAGUCGCUUCGGUGAUAGGGAUCAAAGCCCGCAAGGGCGUCAUUGGAGGAGUCCGCGGCCGAUUAGCUAGUUGGUGAGGUAAUGGCUCACCAAGGCUUGGAUCGGUAGCCGGUCUGAGAGGACGAUCGGCCACACUGGAACUGAGACACGGUCCAGACUCCUACGGGAGGCAGCAGUGGGGAAUCUUGCGCAAUGGGCGAAAGCCUGACGCAGCGACGCCGCGUGGGGAUGAAGCUUCUCGGAGUGUAAACCCCUUUCGACCCGGACGAAUGACCCGCAAGGGUUUGACGGUACGGGGAGAAGAAGCCCCGGCUAACUACGUGCCAGCAGCCGCGGUAAGACGUA